GGAGAACAUGGAGGUGUGAAAACCCUGAGUCUGGAAGUGGGAAUGAAGCUCAGGAAGCUGCUCCUAUCAGAGAGAGAAAGAUAUCUUCAGACAACAGAUGACCACAAACUGUAGGGGAGAGUGGGCACGUUAAGCAGUGGCUCCUGGCAGGUGGCGUCCCGGAGCUCCUGAAAGAGCUGGUGUUGUGGGAGGAUGCGGGACAGGUCUCUGUGUAUCAGCGUCUCAGCGGGACAGGAGCUCUUCAGCAGAUCUGAGUAGUGCUGUGAAACGGCCACGUUCUGAGCGUCACACAGCAGCCGCCACACCACGGGCCGCAGGUUGUUGCUUCUAGGAAACAGGGCAUGCAGGGUGUGAAGAAGUGACCUGUUCUGUUCCUCAAGUUUAGCAAGUAACUUCAUCUCAUCUGCACUGAGCUGAGCCCCCGGUGAGGGACACGGAGAUGGUGCGCUCAAAGAGUCCAUCUGUAACACUCGGGGUGAAGCAG